CAUGGCACGCCACAAGUACUCGCAUCAUGAGAGGCCUCAGCGUCCUUAGGGAAGCCUUAAUUUUCGGAGGCAGUGAAUGGAGGGCAUUGCGAGUCCAUAUUGCGACAACUGGAACUGCUUAUUUGAGAGUCCUCACAUUUCAAAACCCUUCAAACCCUCCCUUUUCACUCAUGUCUCUCUCUCACACUUGUCCGUCUAACACCAUUGCUACCACCCUUCUCAUUUACCGACAAAUAGAUAAUAGGGUGAAUUUUCUGGAAUUUGGGGGAUACUAAAUUCCUGAUUGUUUGGCUGUUGAUUAAAGUGAAGUGGAGAACUACAUUCCCACCACCUCAUUCAAUUUGGGAUGGUAUUCAAGGCUCAAAAGAUAUGAAACAAGUAAGGAAAAACUGAUGCACACAAAGUGUUUGACAAAUUGCUCGAAAGAAGCUUUCAAUAGGUUUUGUGAACACUCUAUAUAAGGGAAAUGUAAGUUAUCCUUUAAGUGUGGGAUGUUCGUGUGGGUGAUUUUAUACUUAAUUUGCAUUCAGUUAGAUUGAAUUCCACCACACAACGACUUAGGCACAAUUCUCGCAUCGCCUUCACCCACUAUGAUAUGGCUGCUCGCGUCUCAUUUAACACAAUUAUUCCACAGGCUAAGUGUGGGGUGUAACGCAUGAUAUUAUGACACAUUGACGAUACAUCUACUAAUAUUGAUACUUUGCUUAUGCAUGUGUGAUGGUGAUUACAAAGACCAACGCACAAUCAUGGGGGUGGAGAUGGUAAGCCUCCACCCAAGAAGACACUGACUGAUAAAAAUGCACCUAGGGAGAAGGGUAAAGAAGUGAUAACCAAAACGCUGCAUGAAUCAGAGGCUAAUGGGACGCCUGAGGUGGGCAUUGAAGCCACCUAGUAGAGCACUGAGUUGCACGUAACAACACAAACUAGGGCAUGACCACCUUGAUUUACUACCACAUGAGAUCGUAUUUCAAAUUCGUGAAGGAGCAUCAAGAACCCCUCCAGAAAAUAAGUGGAAAACAAAUGAGGUGUAAGGACAUGGAGGAUAACUUUGCAUAUAAAGAUGCAUGGAAGUUGUGGGAUAGUAUUCUGCAGAAAUAAGUCAAUCCAUUGGUUCUUGAGAAACCACUAAAUUUGAAUGCUACAAAUAGAGUGUGCCCGGGAAUUGCUGCGGAGAUUGAGGAGAGAUGAUGGGUACACUUCGCUCAAGGAACAAAACAAAAGGCUAACCUGACUCUCAUAAGGGAGUUUUAUUCAAGGCUGCAUCCAAACCAGGGUGACAUUGUUUGGAUGCAAGGGGUAGACGUGGAUGUUUUAGCCCAAACGAUCAAUAAAUAUUACUGGGACAAUUAGCAAGCGGUGUCCGAUUAUUGGAGAAAGGAGAAACGUCUUCUCCUGGACCAUAUGUUGCACCCUAUUUUGCACAGGUCAAAACAAGAUUCAACUAGUGGUUCUUCUGAUGUUGCUAAAAAAGAGCCGCCACCUAAUAUUUUGAGGUAAAUUAGGGUACUUAUGUUUUAUUAGAUUAUUAUCCUAUUGGUCUUCUAACCGGUGAGAUUUGGGUAAUGGUUCUUGUUCUUUUAAGGGGAAGAUGUUAGGCACCCCCUAAAAUCUACUUGAGGUAGCUCCUUAGAACUUAGGUUAGGUUCAGGGAAGUAAAGAUCUAUAUUCUGCUAAGUUUAGUGCUUUAAAGUUUGUAACCUAUCCUAAGUCUUGUUUAAAGUCCACGAUUUUUUGAAAGAAAGUAGUGUAUAUACAUACUUUGAAAAGGA